UUAUGGCUGAACGCCUCUAAGUCAGAAUCCGUGCCGGAACGGGACCUUACCACCCGCACGUCGUAGACGGAUACGAAUAGGCCUCUGGCCACGCACCUCAACAGGCUGGUACCGGUGGAUGUCCAGAAGUGGGCGUUCACUCACCGGCGAAUUGUCAUUUUAACACGGGCGGGGAUGAGCCCUCUGCAGACGACUGAGUUGUGUAUCACGGUGCUGUAA
rnacentral:rRNA from 1 species